rnacentral:rRNA from 1 species
UAAUUUGAGAGUUUGAUCCUGGCUCAGGACGAACGCUGGCGGCGUGCCUAACACAUGCAAGUCGAGCGGAGGAUUUAAGAUGUUUACAUUGAGAAUCCUUAGCGGCGGACGGGUGAGUAACACGUGGGUAACCUGCCUCAAAGUGGGGGAUAGCCUUUCGAAAGGAAGAUU